UUUUGGCAAUGCCUUAUAGUUUCUCCCUGCAAUGUCUAACUUUUCAUUUUAUUUAAAAACUUUUACGAUUAAUAUUUUUAUUGUUAUUAAAUGAUAAAACAUGAAUAAUACUUUAUGUAUGACUAACUUUUUUAAAAAAAUUUAAUAAAAUUUUCAAAAUAAAAUGGAUGGUCAAAUACUAGACAUGAAAACU
rnacentral:pre_miRNA from 1 species